AUAAUAUCCAAUUUUAACAAUUUUUUACCGAAUUAAAUAUAUUAUUACGGCUAUUUUAAUCGCAAUAUACGUUACCACCAGUCGCAAUUGUUAAUAUAACAAUUAUACGUAUUUUUAUAUCGCUAUUCAGCCGAAAAAAAAACAGUCGAAAAAGAAAAAGGAAAAUAAAAAACCGAAUUUCUGCGCCGUUCAAUUUUUAACAUUUGAAACAUUUAAAAAAGGAAGACGUGCCAGGUUUGGAAAAGGUGAAAAAAGAUAUUAUAAUUUAGGCGCUCCAUUGCGCACAUUAUUACCAUUAAAUAGCUCGUUAAUUAUAAAUUAAAUUCGUUAGCUAAACAACUUUUUUAUAUAAGCAGUUUUUACAUUUCGCGGAAAAUAUUAAAAAUAUGGCAGCGUUUUUAAUAAUUAUAACGACCGGGAUAAUAUUAGUAACGUCUAUUGGAUCCAGGGAAACCGUCGCGACACCCACCCCCUGCCCACCGAUGGAAAUAAAAGUAUUUUUACCACCGUUAAUACCAUAUUUAUUUAACGGGGAAUUUAUUACCAUUACAGGGGCAAAAUUACGGGAUUGUAAUAUAACGUUACAAAUUUUGAAAAAAACUGCCCCGCCGCAAUUUGGGGGAGGUUACCUCCCAAAAAAUUUUAUUUUGAAAAAAAAUAUAAUUUUUAAAUUUCCCCUAACAGGUAAAAUUUUGCUGCGACCAUUUAAUAUGGAUUUAAAAACGUUUGGAUAAUUGGAUAGUUUAUAACCUGUGGUUCGCUACCCAAUUAUUCCUUAAAAUACCGGGUUAUUUGGCAAUUUGGAUAAGAGCAGCUGGGCGGACGACGUCGAUUACAUUUAUAAAUAUGGAGUAAAGGCCAAUUGCAAUUACCCGUAAUACCGUCCAUCUUUCGACGAACCUUUACAAAUUUUAAUGGUUUGAACAAAAGGUGUUUAUAUAAAAAGGUCGCUUUAAAUUUAAUUAUAAUAAAAAAAAGGUUAACUGUGGAUUUUGUGUAAUAUAAAAACUUAAUAAAGGCAGGAGCUGUAAAGGUAUAUUGGCCUUAUAUAUUAUAUGCUAAUGCGGGAUUGCUAAAUAUAUUGCAAAUAGUUGCUGGAUGGCAAAUGCGCACGUCGUGCGCAAAACUGCAUAACGCAAAAUUUAUAUUGUUCGAAAAUUAUAAUUUUUUUUUCGUUUCCAAAAUUCAAAACCAAAAUUGGAAUAAACAAAAUAUAUUAUUGCUAAUCCCGGUGGAUAAGAAUUACGAAAAGUAAAAAUUUUAUACCAGAAAUAUAAUUUUCAAACCACGUUAUAAAGCAAACAUUUAUAAAAUAUACCCAAGGACCACGAUCAAAUUAAAAUUUAACUUUAAAAAACCUUUGCGAAAAUGUAUAUAAUAUUAUUUAUAAUUGCCCCAAACAAUAUAUAAUAUAUAUAUUCUAUUAAAAGCUCGAACACGUUACCAUUUUCAACCUCGAUCCAUGGCGGCAACUCAUCGAAUUUGGACCGGAUUAUAAAAAAUAUUAAAAUAGGGAUUAUAUACGGAACGCAAAAUAAUAAUCCAAUAAACAGCCUCAAUAUAAAAACAAUGGGCUUCGGUAAAAAUAAAAUCUCCUUCGACUUUUUAAACCAGGCAAAACGGCCAUAAACCGAUAUAACGACAAAAAGAGUAAUAAUACCAAUUAACAUUAUGCCGGCUAUAAGGGUAUGGCGGAAAUAUAACGUUAUAAUUUGCGUAAAAAUAGCGUCGAUAUUUUCAAUGUUUUAAAAAUGCUGUUUUAACAUUUUUAUAAUUUCCGGUUCGAUAAAAAUAAAAAGGUCAAAAAGCAGGGCGUUAUAUGAAUUUUUAUCACCGAUUUAAAUAUAAAACUCUCCGGUCCCCAGGGAACAAUUUUUGGGAACUAGUUCCGAAAUAAACUGGGGCGUUUGGCUGAUAAUUUUAAAUAUAUCCUUCAUAAUUUCUGGGACCGAUAUAGCAAUUGCUCCUGCUGUAUUUUGGAAAUUGUUUAAAAUGCUGGAAAUACGAGCUCCGGGUUUUAUACCGUUUAAAAAACCUUCUUGCUGCGGGAAACGCCGUUCCAGCGCAUCGAAUUUUAAAAUUUGCGUAAUAUUAAACUUUUAAAUUUAAUAGUUUAAAAACGCCAAAAAUUAAAUAAUUUUAUUUAUUUGCAAAAUAAUUAUGCCGGACUUUAUAAUAUCCUCGUUUAAAAACGUAUAUGCGUUUAAUAUUAAAAU
rnacentral:sRNA from 1 species